AUUGAACGCUGGCGGCAGGCCUAACACAUGCCAGUCGAGCGGAUGAAGGGAGCUUGCUCCUGGAUUCAGCGGCGGACGGGUGAGUAAUGCCUAGGAAUCUGCCUGGUAGUGGGGGAUAACGUCCGGAAACGGGCGCUAAUACCGCAUACGUCCUGAGGGAGAAAGUGGGGGAUCUUCGGACCUCACGCUAUCAGAUGAGCCUAGGUCGGAUUAGCUAGUUGGUGGGGUAAAGGCCUACCAAGGCGACGAUCCGUAACUGGUCUGAGAGGAUGAUCAGUCACACUGGAACUGAGACACGGUCCAGACUCCUACGGGAGGCAGCAGUGGGGAAUAUUGGACAAUGGGCGAAUGCCUGAUCCAGCCAUGCCGCGUGUGUGAAGAAGGUCUUCGGAUUGUAAAGCACUUUAAGUUGGGAGGAAGGGCAGUAAGUUAAUACCUUGCUGUUUUGACGUUACCAACAGAAUAAGCACCGGCUAACUUCGUG
rnacentral:rRNA from 1 species